GAUGAAGAACGCAGCGAAAUGCGAUAAGUAGUGUGAAUUGCAGAAUUCAGUGAAUCAUCGAAUCUUUGAACGCACAUUGCGCCCCUUGGUAUUCCAUGGGGCAUGCCUGUUCGAGCGUCAUUUGUACCUUCAAGCUCUGCUUGGUGUUGGGUGUUUGUCUCGCCUUGCGCGUAGACUCGCCUUAAAACAAUUGGCAGCCGGCGUAUUGAUUUCGGAGCGCAGUACAUCUCGCGCUUUGCACUCAUAACGACGACGUCCAAAAGUACUUUUUACACUCUUGACCUCGGAUCAGGUAGGGAUACCCGCUGACCUUAAGCAUAUCAAUAAGCGGAGGA
rnacentral:misc_RNA from 1 species